GACGAACCACCCAAACGUUAUUCGGAAUUACUGGGCUUAAAGAGUGCGUAGGCGGCCCUGAAAGUAAGGUGUGAAAUCCCACAGCUCAACUGUGGAACUGCGCUUAAACUACAGGGCUAGAGGGAUACAGAGGUAAGCGGAACUGAUGGUGGAGCGGUGAAAUGCGUAGAUAUCUGGAGGAACACCGGUGGCGAAGGCGGCAUCCUGGACCGGCAUUGACGCUGAGGCGCGAAAGCCAGGGAGGCAAAGCGGG
rnacentral:rRNA from 1 species